GUCUGGGAUAGCUCAGUGGGUAGAGCAUGAGGCUCUAAAUCUCAGGAUUGUGGGUUCGAGACUCACGUUGGGCA